CGCGUUACUUGAGCAUACUACUACUUUGGCUUAAAUUAAAUACUCAACAAGCAAAAUAAACAAGAUCCAAAACAUCAUCCAUAGCAAAGCCAGGUGACAGCUUCCUGGCCCUCACCAACUGCUGGGAUUAUUACACACAAUCGUUCCUGACAUUUGAAAUACUCCCACAACAGCUUCCAACCAUCUAUAACACGAGACCUAACAUAACAAGAUCAACUUAACAUAAGCAGAAGCCACAUGGGUAGAAAUGAGAGCAUGUGUGCAAUAGAUAAAAAGAUGAACCCUCAUUCCGAGACAUUUAUCAGAUUUUGUCCAGCUUUUCUGCCUUCACAACCGGGUUGGCUUUUGCUAUAGCAUCCUGAGCAGCACUUCGGUAAUCAUAGGGGCAGUUGUGUUUAUCCGAGUAACGAUGGAGUGAACAAAAGAGAUUUCCACAACGGCAAUUGAAGCCGGUUAGACCAACACGUUUCUUACAAGUUCCGCACCUGUUUGGAGUCUCUUUCACCUUCUCCUCACUCUUAAUGUCCAAAGAUGGAGUAGAGGAAGCCUGUGUUGAGAUGAGCAUCAAAUCUGCGGACCCAGCUUGUACAUCUACAUCAACAGUAGCAAUAGGCUCCUUCCCUCUGUCAUUGGGAUUGCCAUUCACAGCACAAUCAAUGGAUGCUGCAGCAACUUUAGCCUGUUCUUGCUUCAAUAUCAAGUCCUUGUGGCAUUUGGAACACAAAUUCAUUGUUGCUGCACUUCCAAAGAAUCCGCAGUUGUUGGCACAGAGCUUGGGAGCUUCAGGAGGAGCUUGACACCCUGUCUCGUUG
rnacentral:lncRNA from 1 species